GAGCGAAAACUUACAGCAGCAUCUCCGACACCCUCCUGACCAUGACCACUAUGUUGACAAGAAAGGUUCAGCUGAUAAGACAAUUAUUUUUUGGGACCUUGGGACUUUUGACUUGAUUGGAUCCUCUGGACAGGAGAUUGAAAUGUUUUCUUCUAGAUACUCAAGCAUGGGAGGCAGCAUGGAUUUAUUUAUGAAAGGUGGCAGACACAACCAUGAGGUGUUCACACACAUUUACCUGCAUUCUUAUCUUGACC